rnacentral:lncRNA from 1 species
GUCCCAAUUGAGAUCGAUGGGAGCUUCCUCGGAGCUAGAAAAAAUUUCUUUGAAAUAGGAAGUGAAGGCUUUAGAUAUACCUUCAAGAUUAGACUAGGUGCUAUUGUUAUAAUUGAUGGUAGUAAUGAGAUUAUACUUCUUUCUCAUGGAAGCAAUUUUAUGAAAGUAAGCCAAGUUGUUUACCCCUUCUUUUAGCCAUCGCACUUUA